UAAAAGUUUUUUUGCUUUGGGGUUUCAGAAAAACUUGAGUUAAAUGUAAGUUUAAGCGUAAAAUAGAGAUAGUUUAAAUAAUUAUAUUUAGGUUUAAUGGGCAGUUACUAUUAUUAAAUAUUCGGGGGAUCGAGAUUUAGUGGAGAUUUUAGUAUAAACAAAAUUUGUGCCAGCAGUUGCGGUUAUACAAAUUAUGCAAUGAAAUUUUAUUAGGUAUAGUUAAUCUAUAUAAUAUAUAAAUUAAAAAAAUUUUUAUUAGGUGAAAUUUUAAAAUUUUGUAAAUUUAUAAUAAAAAGUUGGAUGAGGCUAGGAAAUUUUAUAAAAAACUAGGAUUAGAUACCCUAUUAUAAAAAUUAAUAUAUAAAACCUAGAUUAUUAGUAGUUAAGUUCUUGAAAAUUAAUAAAGAUGGCGGUAUUUUAGUCUAUUCAGAGGAAUCUGUCCUGUAAUUGAUAAUCCACGAUUUAUGUUACUUAAGUUUUUAGUUUAUAUAUCGCUGUAAGUUGAAUAUUUUUACUGAAAUUUAAUAUUCAUGAUCUUUAAGGAUAGAAAAUCAAGUCAAGAUGUAGCUUAUACUUAAGAAGAGAUGGAUUACAUUAUAUUUAAAUGUGGUUAGGGUCUUGAAAUAGUCUCUAUAAAAUGGAUUUGAAGGUAAUUUUUUAUUAAAAUAUGAAAAGUGAUUUGAGCUCUAAAAUAUGUACAUAUCGCCCGUCGCUUUCACUAUAAAGUGAAAUAAGUCGUAACAUAGUAGAUGUACUGGAAAGUGUCUCUAGAAGACA
rnacentral:ncRNA from 1 species